rnacentral:rRNA from 1 species
UACGAAGGGGGCUAGCGUUGUUCGGAAUUACUGGGCGUAAAGCGCACGUAGGCGGAUUUGUAAGUCAGGGGUGAAAUCCCGGGGCUCAACCUCGGAACUGCCUUUGAUACUGCGAAUCUUGAGUCCGAUAGAGGUGGGUGGAAUUCCUAGUGUAGAGGUGAAAUUCGUAGAUAUUAGGAAGAACACCAGUGGCGAAGGCGGCCCACUGGAUCGGUACUGACGCUGAGGUGCGAAAGCGUGGGGAGCAAACAGG